UCAGACGGCCGGGCGGUCGCGGGCGAAAGCUCGAGGAAAGUCCGGGCUCCACGACGACAUGGCGGUGGGUAACGCCCACCGGGGGUGACCCCAGGGAUAGCGCCACAGAGAGCAGACCUCCUCCGCUUCGGCGGAGGGAAGGGUGAAAGGGUGCGGUAAGAGCGCACCGGGCCGCUGGUGACAGGGGCCGCAUGGCAAGCCCCGCCAGGAGCAAGACCGAAUAGGGGUCCCGCGCCGGCCAGGUCCUUCGGGAAACUGGCGGGUAGGAGCGUCGCCGCUCCGAGGGACCCGGGUAGGUCGCGAGAACCGGCCGGUGACGGUCGGUCCAGAGGAAUGGCCGCCGCGUCCUGCGCAAGCAGGGCGGCACAGAACCCGGCUUACAGGCCGUCUGAUCUU
rnacentral:RNase_P_RNA from 2 species